rnacentral:rRNA from 1 species
UACGGAGGGUGCAAGCGUUGUCCGGAAUCACUGGGCGUAAAGGGCGCGUAGGCGGCCUGGUAAGUAGGGGGUGAAAUCCUGCGGCUUAACCGCGGGGCUGCCUUCUAAACUGUCAGGCUUGAGCACGGUAGAGGCAGAUGGAAUUCCCGGUGUAGCGGUGGAAUGCGUAGAGAUCGGGAAGAACAUCAGUGGCGAAGGCGGUCUGCUGGGCCGUUGCUGACGCUGAGGCGCGACAGCGUGGGGAGCAAACAGG